rnacentral:tRNA from 1 species
UCGGGCAGUAGCUCAGUGGUAGAGCGGUCGGCUGUUAACCGAUUGGUCGUAGGUUCGAGUCCUACCUGCGGAGCCA